rnacentral:rRNA from 1 species
CCUACGGGGGGCAGCAGUGAGGAAUAUUGGUCAAUGGACGAGAGUCUGAACCAGCCAUGUCGCGUGCAGGAUGACUGCCCUAUGGGUUGUAAACUUCUUUUAUACGGGAAUAAAAUGUUCUACGUGUGGGCUUUUGUAUGUACCGUAUGAAUAAGGAUCGGCUAACUCCGUGCCAGCAGCCGCGGUAAUACGGAGGAUCCGAGCGUUAUCCGGAUUUAUUGGGUUUAAAGGGUGCGUAGGUGGUUUGUUAAGUUAGUCGUGAAAGUAUGGGGGUCAACCUGUAAAUUGCGGUUGAAACUGGCAGUCGAGAGAGCAGUAGAGGUAGGCGGAAUGCGUGGUGUAGCGGUGAAAUGCAUAGAUAUCACACAGAACACCGAUUGCGAAGGCAGCUCACUGGGCUACAACUGACACUGAGGCACGAAAGCGUGGGGAUCAAACAGGAUUAGAUACCCUAGUAGUC